rnacentral:rRNA from 1 species
GACGAACGCUGGCGGCGUGCUUAACACAUGCAAGUCGAACGGAAAGGCCCUGCUUUUGUGGGGUGCUCGAGUGGCGAACGGGUGAGUAACACGUGAGUAACCUGCCCUUGACUUUGGGGUAACUUCAGGAAACUGGGGCUAAUACCGGAUAGGAGCUCCUGCUGCAUGGUGGGGGUUGGAAAGUUUCGGCGGUUGGGGAUGGACGCGCGGCUUAUCAGCUUGUUGGUGGGGUAGUGGCUUACCAAGGCUUUGACGGGUAGCCGGCCUGAGAGGGUGACCGGCGACAUUGGGACUGAGAGACGGCGCAGACUCCUACGGGAGGCAGCAGUGGGGAAUAUUGCACAAUGGGCGGAAGCCUGAUGCAGCAACGCCGCGUGCGGGAUGACGGCCUUCGGGUUGUAAACCGCUUUCGCCUGUGACGAAGCGUGAGUGACGGUAAUGGGUAAAGAAGCACCGGCUAACUACGUG